rnacentral:rRNA from 1 species
AGCGAACGCUGGCGGCAUGCUUAGCACAUGCAAGUCGCACGGGCAGUAGCAAUACUGUCAGUGGCGGACGGGUGAGUAACGCGUAGGAAUCUAUCCUUGGAAUGGGGGACAACCGUGGGAAACUACGGCUAAUACCGCAUGAUGCCUGAGGGCCAAAGACGAAAGUCGUUUGAGGAGGAGCCUGCGUCUGAUUAGGUAGUUGGUGGGGUAAAGGCCUACCAAGCCUACGAUCAGUAGCUGGUCUGAGAGGAUGAUCAGCCACAUUGGGACUGAGACACGGCCCAAACUCCUACGGGAGGCAGCAGUGGGGAAUAUUGGACAAUGGGCGCAAGCCUGAUCCAGCAAUGCCGCGUGGGUGAAGAAGGUCUUCGGAUUGUAAAGCACUUUUGGCAGGGACGAUGAUGACGGUACCUGCAGAAUAAGCCCCGGCUAACUUCGUG